UACGGAGGGGGCUAGCGUUGUUCGGAAUUACUGGGCGUAAAGGGCGCGUAGGCGGCCCGCUAAGUCGAACGUGAAAUCCCCGAGCUCAACUCGGGAACUGCGUCCGAUACUGGUGGGCUUGAAUCCGGGAGAGGGAUGCGGAAUUCCAGGUGUAGCGGUGAAAUGCGUAGAUAUCUGGAGGAAUACCGGUGGCGAAGGCGGCAUCCUGGACCAUUACUGACGCUGAGGCGCGAAAGCUAGGGGAGCAAACGGG
rnacentral:rRNA from 1 species